AUUGGGAUUUUGGUCAGGGAUGCUCCUGAGUUCUGAGCUUCAGUAUGAACAAUCUUCCUUCUUUCUGUUUGAGUCAUACUUGAUAGAUGACCACUUAAUCCAAAGUUCUGAACACAGUUUGUGUUUGAGUUUCAGCUCAUAAUAAGACUUGUACAUUUACUUCAUAAUUCUUCACUUCCUUUCAUACAUUUCAUUCCUUGGCUUUCAUGGCUUCUUCUGUUUCCUUUUCACCACACUCACUAACCCUUUUGCAAUUUUCCCACACAAAGUCUCAAAUCAAAUUCUUGCCCAUCAAUCAAUUACCCCAUUUAUUGAUUCACAAAAAUACAAUAAAUUCAAGAACCCCUCCAAAAGUUGAGAUUUUUAAUCAUCUGGGUCACUUUUCAAUCUCUUGUUUUUCAACUAAAUCAUCUUCAGAUGGGUCUUUUGAUUUGGUUCAAGAAGAUGAGUUGGUUUUGCCAGCAAGUAAAACUGGCCCAGUUAAGACCCUUUUCUUGGUUUUGUUGUGGGCUUCUGUUUUUGUAGGGUUUUAUGUGGCUUCCGGAGAUGCCAAUGCUGCUGCUGACUCAAUCAGAGCUUCUAGUUUUGGUCUGAGAUUUGCUGAGGCUUUGAGGGGCUUUGGUUGGCCUGAUGAGGCUGUUGUUUUUGCUCUGGCUACGCUUCCGGUUAUCGAGCUUCGUGGAGCUAUUCCUGUGGGUUAUUGGUUGCAGCUAAAACCUGUGGUGCUCACUGUUUUAUCUGUUUUGGGGAAUAUGGUUCCUGUGCCCUUUAUCGUACUCUACUUGAAAAAGUUUGCAACUUUCCUCGCUGGAAGAAACCAGUCUGCAUCUCAGUUCCUUGACAUGUUAUUCAAGAGAGCAAAGGAGAAGGCGGGCCCUGUGGAAGAGUUUCAGUGGCUUGGCCUGAUGCUGUUUGUAGCUGUCCCUUUCCCUGGUACAGGCGCUUGGACAGGAGCCAUAAUUGCUUCUGUUCUCGACAUGCCAUUCUGGUCUGCUGUCUCGGCAAACUUUUUCGGCGUUGUCCUGGCUGGCCUUUUGGUAAACUUGCUGGUGAAUCUUGGCCUCAAGUAUGCUGUACUUACUGGUAUUGCGCUCUUCAUUAUAUCAACAUUCAUGUGGAGUAUCCUUCGACAGCUUAAAAGGUCUUUGAGUUCAUCAAAUUGAUGUCAAACGACACUAGUAGAGUCGUAAUAGGCACAGAGAACUGCAGGCAUCGAAAUCAUCUUGUGUGCAGUGACCUUGUAUUGCAGACUCUUUACCCUUUGCACCAUUUGACAGAAAUCCUCUUUGUUGGAGUCUGUUCACAGGUAUAUUGCUAGAUGGAUUUGACGAGUAGUAACAAGUUGUUCGUUGCAAUCAUGGCAACAUUACAUAACGUAGAUCAGAUUUUAAUCUAAGUUGCUUGAUUUUGAAUGUAAUCUUGUGGCAGAAGAGUACAGCGAUUACUAAGCACACAUUUCUAUUAGUUUCAGCUGAAAAUCCGACAUCGAACAAACACAAGAAUUGAAAGAUCAAUGAAUAUUCAUGAGAAGGCAAAUGCAGUUCCACAAUGCAAGCGAAAGAAUAUAAGCAUAGCAAAUUCAAAGCGUAACCCAAGCUUACCUGUAGAACUUAUUUACAAGAUACUUCAAUGGCUGCUCGUCUCGUCUCUUUUGUGAUUCAAGGCGGUUUCCAAAUUAUGGCGCUCUUUGAUCUCUAGUCCUGAUUUUAUAAAAUCGAGAAGGUUGUGGCAUUGUACAAUUCUGGUAUGAAGUUGCAGACUGGAUUUUAUUCGAACUAUGAUCGUGAAUUUUGCUACGACGAUUGACGAGUGUAAUAAUGAUUUUAAAGCAGUUGAGAUC